rnacentral:rRNA from 1 species
AGCGAACGCUGGCGGCAGGCUUAACACAUGCAAGUCGAGCGGGCAUCUUCGGAUGUCAGCGGCAGACGGGUGAGUAACCCGUGGGAACGUACCCUUCGGUUCGGAACAACUCUGGGAAACUGGAGCUAAUACCGGAUACGCCCUUAUGGGGAAAGGUUUACUGCCGAAGGAUCGGCCCGCGUCUGAUUAGCUAGUUGGUGGGGUAACGGCCUACCAAGGCGACGAUCAGUAGCUGGUCUGAGAGGAUGAUCAGCCACACUGGGACUGAGACACGGCCCAGACUCCUACGGGAGGCAGCAGUGGGGAAUAUUGGACAAUGGGCGCAAGCCUGAUACAGCCAUGCCGGGUGAGUGAUGAAGGCCUUAGGGUUGUAAAGCUCUUUUGUCCGGGACGAUAAUGACGGUACCGGAAGAAUAAGCCCCGGCUAACUUCGUG